ACCUGGCUGGCUCAGUCAGUAGAGCAUGUGACUCUUGGUCUUGGGGUUUUGAGUUCAAGCCCCAAGCUAGGUA
rnacentral:tRNA from 1 species